rnacentral:lncRNA from 1 species
CCUUUAAGUUGUGGGUGUCAGGUACGUGGACUGUGGGCUGUCAGCGGGUGGGGAAGAGGAGAAGAGGAGGAACGGGCCCUCAGGAGAAGGGCUGGUCUUCUGCACCCAGCCCGAAAUGUCAUCUCUUUUCCACCCUUGUGCACCUGUGCUUGCUCUGUGAGCAUCUCCUGUGUAUUUUCCAGUCCUGAGUUCAUCUGUCUUCAACAGCCUCUCCGCUCUUCAGCUCAUCCACUGACUCGUUCAAUUGUUUGGCUGCAGGUGGACUGUCCGCUAGAUGCAAGCACUGGUCUCCAUGCCACAAGGAUUUCUGGAGGGUCUGCUCUUCCCGCCUCCUGGACUCUGUUCUGCUGAGUCCCCUUUAGCCGCUGCAGCAGCCACACCCUCACCGUGAAGGAGGGGAGGCAGGCACGGAGGCUGUGCUUCAUCUUCACGCCCCAUCCACACACAGCCUGAGUUUACAACAGCACAGCCGAGAUUUGGCUGUAACUUGUCUAAAGAUGUCCAGAGAAGAGAAAAUUAAAACUGACGACUGGGUCAUUCUGAGCGCACAUACCCACGUUCUCCCACCCAAGAACCUAGCUGGCACUGCCUGAGCCGUUUCCUAGGCAGGGUGACUUUUUCUGCUUUCUUUUCUUCACUCCCCUUCAUUCUUCAAUGGUUGCCCCUAAUGCCUUUCUCCUGGAUGGAUCUUCAGGUCCUCUCACCCAUACAAGGGCUCAUUUGGCAACUCUAGAUUGGUUCCCACCGCGAUGAUUGACAGUUGCAGUGGCCACUUCUCUCAGAAAUGGAAACCCAAGGUCCUGCCCAUGGGGGAGGAGCUCUUUUCGGAUUUCCUCUCUCCCAACAGAAGGUAAUGAUCAGCGAUUCAGCCUAAAAUUGAACCCUUUAUAGGGGAGCAGAAAUCCAAAAAGAUAAUUCUAAAUGGCUGUCCAUCAAGAGGGACGGAUGAAUAAAGAUAAGACAGCUUCAACAUGGAGGACAAUGCAGCUCCAGUAUCAGAAGGAAUAGUAAUUCUGCAGGAAUUCUAAAGUAAUUAUAAGGAAUCACCUCUAUGAUAAAAUGUUUAAGGAGAAAAGCAAG